AAUNNGGGNUCNNGAUGAACGCUGGCGGCGUGCUUACACAUGCAAGUCGAGCGAGGGAGCACCUUCGGGUGUGAACUACCGGCGGACGGGUGAGUAACACGUGGGCAACCUGCCUUACAGAGGGGGAUAGCCUUCCGAAAGGAAGAUUAAUACCGCAUAUUAUGAUUUUUCUGCAUGGGAAAGUCAUGAAAGGAGCAAUCCGCUGUAAGAUGGACCCGCGGCGCAUUAGCUAGUUGGUGAGGUAAGGGCUCACCAAGGCGACGAUGCGUAGCCGACCUGAGAGGGUGAUCCGCCAUAUUGGGACUGAGACCCGGCCCAGACUCCUACGGGAGGCAGCAGUGGGGAAUAUUGCCCAUGGGGGAAAACCCUCAUGCCCCAACCCCGCGUUGGUCAUGACGGCCCUUCGGGUUGUAAAACCCUGUCUUCCGGGCAGAUAAAUGACGGGACCCUGGGAGGAAGCCCCGGGCUACCUACCUGCCCACAACCCCGGUUAUACCCCAGGUUGGCAAGGUUAACCCGAUAUACUCCCCCUUAAAGAUGCCCUACGUGAAUUUUUAAAUGGGAUGGUAAAUAUCCGGGCUCCACC
rnacentral:rRNA from 1 species